AUUGAACGCUGGCGGCAUGCCUUACACAUGCAAGUCGAACGGCAGCACGGGAGCAAUCCUGGUGGCGAGUGGCGAACGGGUGAGUAAAGUAUCGGAACGUGCCCAGUCGUGGGGGAUAACGUAGCGAAAGUUACGCUAAUACCGCAUACGAUCUAUGGAUGAAAGCGGGGGAUCGCAAGACCUCGCGCGAUUGGAGCGGCCGAUAUCAGAUUAGGUAGUUGGUGGGGUAAAGGCUCACCAAGCCGACGAUCUGUAGCUGGUCUGAGAGGACGACCAGCCACACUGGGACUGAGACACGGCCCAGACUCCUACGGGAAGCAGCAGUGGGGAAUUUUGGACAAUGGGCGAAAGCCUGAUCCAGCCAUGCCGCGUGCAGGAUGAAGGCCUUCGGGUUGUAAACUGCUUUUGUACGGAACGAAAGGGUUUGGCCUAAUAAGCUGAGCUCAUGACGGUACCGUAAGAAUAAGCACCGGCUAACUACGUGCCAGCAGCCGCCGUAA
rnacentral:rRNA from 1 species